GACGAACGCUGGCGGCGUGCUUAACACAUGCAAGUCGAACGGAAAGGCCCUGCUUUUGUGGGGGGCUCGAGUGGCGAACGAGCGAGUAACACGUGAGUAACCUGCCUUUCACUUUGUGAUGACUACAGGAAACUGGGUCUAAUACCGGAUAGGAGCUCCUCCUGCAUGGUGGGGGUUGUAAAGUUUCGGCGGUGUGAGAUGGACGCGUGGCUUGUCAGCUUGUUGGCGGGGUGGUGGGGUACGAGGGCUUUGACGGGUAGACGGCCUGAGUGGGUGACCGGCACCAUUGGGACUGCUAUGCGGCGCAGACGCCUGCGGGAGGCAGCAGUGGGGAAUAUUGCACAAUGGGCGGACGCCGGGUGCGGCGACGGCGCGUGCGGGAUGACGGCCUUCGGGUUGUAAACCGCUUUCGCCUGUGACGAAGCUGGGGUGACGGUAAUGGGUAAAGAAGCACCGGCUAACUACGUG
rnacentral:rRNA from 1 species